CUUCUCGAAAAAAUAACAUAUCAAAGUCUUGGGAAAGCUUCAGACAUUGAUUUAGAAUUUAAAGUAAAUAAUUUUUAUAUAUUAUCUUAAAGUGAUAUUUUUAUUUCUAAUAUAUAGAAGCGGCUUGAAAGCACCUCAUGGUUGUCCUGUCAGCUUAGUGGUAAAGGGUAUUUUAAUCUUUGUACUAAAUACUGUAUUCUUAAUUAUUAGAUGACAUUUGUACAAGUUUACAUGUGUCUUAACAUUUGCCGAUUAUGCUGCUUGAAAUAAGAACGCACAUGAAGCGAUGCUUGUCAUUAUUACCAACGAGUUUUGAACGUAUCUCCACUUUGCCCAUCUUCUCUUUUUCUGGUUGCAAUUGUAUUGUUCUCAAUUUUUUCUUUUAGUUGUUUGAUUCUUAGCUUGAUUGUUACCUUGAUAUUUUUGUUCUAUGAAUUUUGUAUUUUUGUUGUUAUAGAAUCUGUUAUCUACUUUUUUCCCUUUUUAUUUUUGGAGUAUGGUAGUUUAAUAGCUUUUCUUUAGCUAAUUGGAUGUUAAUUGUUGCUUCGCCUUUAUUUUUUUUAACCAAGAUCUUCGUACUACUUACUAAUUUACCUUAGCCAUUUUUUUCGUUUUUGUUCGAUUUGCAGGUUAUUAACUUUUGGCAAAGGGGACAAAUAGUCGACUUCACUAGAAACUCAAUUUGCAUAUACGAAGCAAUUCAAGCAGAUUAAAUAAAUCACAGUGAACGCAUCCUAGAAAAGUAGAUUGAUAUAAGGAAACUAAGGAAACAAGCUUUCUACUACACAGUACAAGUUGAUCAAAAAUAGAGCAAUAUGUCUGACCUCUCACCCAGAGAUAUUUUUUAUGCAAGUCCUUAUCAUAUCCAUGAAAGGGGUAUACCUCUUCUUUUAUCUAUGUGUUAAUAUCAGUUGUUACUAGUUGGUUUUUCAACUCCAGCAUGACUUCUAAGUAUUGUUUUGUCGAAGGAAUUUGAUCAAGGCUUGUAUUGAUAGUGGGCAAGAUCCUUCAACUUUUAAGGUGCGCAUAUAUAGUUGUAGUGCGAAAUCUAAUCCUAUAGUAAAUUUCGAGGCUGAUUCCAUGGGAGUUGCUAUUGGGAAUAGAACUUCUCCGCGAAGAUCAACAAUAGAGGAGGUUCAAAAUAAGCUUAGGUAAUGUUAGCAUACUGCAUGAUACGAAAUUUUAAGAAAGUAAAGGAGCUUUUGAAUUUUAAAAUCUUAAACUAAAGAUAUAUGAAUGUACGAAAAUGCUCUUUAAUUUUAUAAUCAUAAAUAUGCUAUGUGGAAUGUUAAAAUUAAAGAUGUUGAGAGAUUUGUAGGAUCUGUUGUUGAGUAUGUUGGUGUGACAUGUGAAUUAUAUUGAACUUUGGAUAUAUAUAUAUAUAUAUAUAUAUAUAUAUAUAUAGAAAGUCCGCCACCUCAGUUUUACAGCCCCAUUCACGGUCAUGAAUCAUUUACGACCUUGGAAUACACCAUGUAUGUCGAAACUGGCGUUUGAAAGCAUGAACGAACAACUAUAUUUGUUGAUCUUGAACUAACUGUUAUUGAUAAAGUUAGAAAUGCCGCCUAUCUUCAGCUUUUCUAUCCUGAACAACUCAUUUUUGAAAAGAAAGAUGCUACUAAUAAUUUUCCCAAAGGACAUUAUAAUGUUAGCAAAGAAAUUAUUUAUCUUUGCCUUGAUCUCAUUAGAAAACUUGCUGAUAACUGCACUGCUUUGCAAGGGUUCUUGGUCUUUAAUGCUAUUGGCGGUGGUCCUGGUUCUGGAUUGCAUUCAUUGUUGCUCGAAUGCUUAUCUAUUGAUUAUGGUAAAAAGUUCAACAUUGUGUUUAAUAUCUACUCCUCCCCAGGUGAAUGCCAUACAUAAUCAUGCAUCUCUUAUUUGUAAUAGCAAGAUUAUUUGUGUUUGUUAAAUUUCAGCUAUCCACUGUUGUUGCAGAACCUUCUAACAGUGUUCUUUCAACUCAUUUCCUUUUAGAACACACUGAUAUGGUUGUGAUGUUUACAAUGAAGUCAUUAUGCUUUCAUCAUAUGACCCUGUCAUCUCAGCUGGAAAUACAUACCAUGAGCAAUUAUUGGUACCUGAGAUAACUAAUGCAGUUUUUUAGCACUCAAGUAGGCUAAAUGUGACCCAACGCAUUGAAAAUAUAUGGCGUAUUAACGUAAAGGAUGAUUCAAUUUGUUGACUAGUAAAGAUUUUACACCAAUAACAAGCGUGAGCUACUUGUAUCUGAACAAAGUACAGAAAACUUUCUAAUGUGGAUGCAACUGUGUGAUUUUAUUUUUUUGAUUUUGGUAUUUGAAAAAAUGCCCAACUGGCUUCAAAAGGCAUUCAUCCAUUGAUAUGCUGGAGAAGGCAUGGAAGAGGUAGAAUUUUCUGAAGCCACUGAAGAUUUACCUACACUUGAAAAAGACUACGAGCAAGUUGGUAAUGAAGGAGUUGAUGACGAAGAAAAUAGUGAAGAAUAUUAAUGUAGACCAACAACUUUGAAGACAGUAUUGCUCUAAUACCUUGCAUAUGUUUUUGUUGUUAUUUGCUAUCAGUUGUUGUCCACAGGGUAAUUUGACAUUUCUUUUCAUUCAAGUCUGAAUAUUUUCAACCAUCAGUGAUUACCUACAUGGUAACUUACCAUUUAUAUUACAGUGAUUGUUCAUAUUAUCAUUUAAUCUCUAUAUUGUGAUAAUUGAUCAAGAAAAAUAUAAAAUCUUGACUCAACAGCUCUGGAUUAUCAACUGUGAAGCCACAACUAACGGUUAUAAAUUAUAGCUAUGUUACUAUCUUCUACAUCUAGUAUAAUUAUAAUUGGAUAUAUAAUUUUAUAUUUGUAAACAGUAAUACAUUUUUUUAAUAUGUAUAAAACAUUUUAAUACAAAUUAUUAUAUUUGUAUAUAUAUAAUUUACCCUGUAAAUCGUCUUAGUAGUUUCGAAUCAGAGAUUUUCAUACAAACCAACAAUAAGGUCAAUUUUCACUUUAUUCUUUUUCUUUUUCAUGAUUUCUUACAGUAUAAAAGUCCUUUUUAGAAUUAUGGGUCUGAUUUGUGAGAAUACUGAUACAUGCUGUAAGAAGUGAUUUUAUUGAAUAACAACUAAA